CGCUGUGGUUCCAAUAUGGAGAAUCAGACUUUGUGGUGACUUCUGUCAUCCAAUCAGAGGCCGGAUUUGUUCCAAUAUUCCUCCAGGACCCUCCCCUGUCACUGGAACCUGCUGAACGGUGCGGACGGAGCUCCCAGGGGCACAUGGGAAGUUCUGUGUGACGAGUCUUUACAUCAGGACGAGAGGAAACAACCUGGUCAGGUCAGUGUUGGUUCCACCACCUCCACCAGAGGUGCUGUCACACUCACAUCCUCAACUACCUCCAUUUCUGCUGCUGCUUUGUCCAGUGUGGGCUAAAGAAGAUCAAGGAGACAGACACAGAGACGUAAAGAGGACUGGUAGGAGCCUGAACUACUUUCCUGCUGCAAAAGAACAGGACCCACAUGAACGGACGGCCUCAAUCACCUGAAACAGAGCUGUGCUCCUCCAACUCCUCCACUGGUUGUUAAA